GAACACCACUUUUGACCAUUGCACUUCACUGAUGCUAAAUAAUAAUUAUUUUAAAUACUUCCUUCUAACACACAAUCUGCAUUUUUAUUUAGAACAAUCGUCAAACACAAGUUUUGGUUGUAAACGGGUCGUCACUUUACACUUUUUACACACACUUUUGCCUCUCGCGACAGGGAAAUAACGCUACCAACCAUUUGUACAGAUAAAAUAAACACAUAUUCACUGAAUUUGAACUAAAUUACAUUACUUUCUUUCACAAAACCGUAAUUUAUCCAAACUAACCUCAAAUUAGCCGGCUUUUGUUUGUUUUGAAAACGUCAAACUACACGAACUUAUCGACAUUUUUCGUGAAUACUAACGUCAUCCAUAUUUUACGAUCAAAAAAGUCGAAGUAAAGAAUCGUUGUUGCACGCCAUCUAUGUCAGAAACUCGUAGUUAAAAGGUAGUUUCGAUUGCGGAAGUUAAAGAUUUCAAUCGAAAAAGGUAAAAUAAGCAAAUACUUCUCGAAAUUAGGUACUUCUCGUUACGGUAUGUCGAUUUUAAUAAGAUUAUGACAAAAUAUGAUUUCUAAUUUCUACAAUGAAUAAAUAUUUAAUUUUUCGCCAGAUUAAUGGGACACAAUUUGACUUAUGGCAAUAUCAGAUCGGUACUAACUUCCGUUGACUUAAAUGUGUCUUAAUAAUAUUUUCUUGGCACGACAUUGCUUUUGUUCUUCUUUAAACUCGUCAUUAAUCGCGUGAUCUUCAAUUAGAAUUACUUAAAUAACCGCGUCAUUUUUAAAUCUGCUUAAACAAAUGACAAAUCGAAACAGCGCCGACGCCAAUCUUCCGCCAUUCAUACAGCGUAUACGCCAUUUUGUCAUUUUUGCAAGAAAAUGCAAGAGUAGACGAAAUAAGAAAAUGCAAAGAAAUCAUUGCCCUAGAUACUCGUUGCUCUCAAAUGAUGCUGACGACAAAGUGAUUCUGUUUUAUCAAACUGAAAAUCCGAAUUAUAAUGUAAAUUGUGAUCUUCGAAAUUGAGGUUAUGAAAUUGACAUAACUCUAUUUAUAAACAAUAUGAACGACCGCGUUGGAGGAUAUGAAUGCAUUGGAACCUUGACAUGUGUUUUACUGUGUUUCUCAUCACGAUAAUAGAAAAUCUAGUGCUCAAAUUCACAAUCUAAUGAACAUACAGCCAUACAAAAGAUGUCUUAAAGAGGUAUGCCUCCACUGACAAAGUGAAUUAAGUUGCCUACUCGAAAAGCAACUUUGCAAGGAAGCAAGUUUACUACCCACUGAAAUGUUCCCUUGGUACUUGAUGGAAUUAUGUAAUGAAACUGUCAACCAUUACAAUGUGAUAAAGAUAUUCCUGAUGGCGAUGAAUGAUGACUAACUUUCAAAACUACAAGAUGAACCCCUUCCACUUCUAGAAUGUGAAGAAUGCUGCCAUAUUACCGGCCCAUAUGAUCAUCAUGACAACUGUCUACCGUUGUCUACCCCGAUACAAGGAAAAUUACAAAUGUGUUGCUAAGCUUAAUAUUAGAUGACUAGAAGCAGUUAGUAGAAUAAAGAAUGGUUCCUGAGUUUUACAAUGGCCGACUAACUUUUGAUGACUGAUGAAGAUGACUAUGCCAGCAAAAGACAGACAACAGAUGUACUUCGAAUAGCAAUAUGACUAAAGCACUACCUUACAUUAUUAAGACUAGAAUAUUGAAUAUAUAAUAAAAGUUUAAGUUGUAAAAUAAUAAUGUGGAUUUCAUAUAUAAUUAUGUUUAUUUUUAAUUAAAGGUAUGCAAGUGUUUGCUUUUCAAUCAACCCUCAACUGCAUGAAUUAGAUGAUAUUUGUCAGAGUUUGCACUUCAAGGCAUGUCAAUAUU